UCCCUGGUGGUCCAGUGGUUAGGACUCUGUACUUUCAUUCCAAGAGGCCCAGGUUUGAUCCUUGGUCAGGGAA
rfam:Ovis aries breed Texel chromosome 14, whole genome shotgun sequence.